rnacentral:tRNA from 1 species
GACUCAGUGGCCGAGUGGAUAACGCGAUGGCGUUUGAAGCGAAAGGUACUGGGUUCGAGUCACUCGCAGAGUG